CAUCUCAGUUCCCGGCUGACCGCCUCUCUCCAAUCCCCUAUCCCCUAGGCGGAGGGUCUCUCUCUCUCCUGUCUCCAUUUAGAGUUCGCCACGAUCUUCAAGUUGUGCUUCUUCCGUGAUUCAUGGUUCCAUAUUCCAAUCCGUCCGCAUCCAGAAGAUGUGAUUCCGCCCUAAAAUUCGAGGUAGCCCCCGCCAGCCCCGUUUCUUUGUUCUGCACCUGUGCUGAUUAUGAACUCACAUGUUGAUGGACAGUCUCGUGCACUCAACUUCCAUAUAGCACCACCGCCUCUUUGCGCCCAUGCGUCAUUUUUUGCUGUAAUGCAACUACACUCUGCUCUUAAUUUAAAAUAAUGGGUCGAUUAUUUGACUAAUGUUUUGCUCCUAGUUUCAAUUUUGGAUAAGGAAAUUAGCCCACUGUCAUCACGGAUAUCUAUAGACUGUAAAAUGCCAUCAAACUGAAUGGAGGCUGAUAAGUGAGAUUUGGGGCCAACAGUUCGUGGACACGUUGACGGAUAGCACUACUGUUAUAUAGCAUGGUGCUAUUUCCACUUGUUGGUUCCAUUGUCAACAUAAACGGGCGCCACACAUGCAAUCAAAUGCAAUGCAUCUCUAACAGGGUACGUACACAGUACACGCUCUGGGAGUUUAUUCAAACGAACAUCUAAUCGUACAGGCUGACCGGCUUCUUUUGAAACCAGGGUCCUGCCAUUCUUCUUGUAUCUUAUUGCUUAUUUUCGAGGUCACGUUACUCAUCAAAAGGUUACUCAUCAAAAUUGUGUUCAUAUAUGCCACUUUGUUCUCUGUAUACAUGUAUAAAUCCACUGAAUUACUCCAAGGCUCCUUCAUUCUGGAUUAAUUUGGGAUUAUUUUUAGGUGUGUUUGCAACUAGUAUUUAUUUACCUUCAGAGAACGAGAAGAUCAUCAAAACCCCAGUUGUUUGACAAAGUUUUCAUGUAUUCAGCAUAUGCAAGCACAUCACAGAAGUGGUCUUAUCAUGACAUUCUUCAGGGCACUAAGCGUUUGUCAAAAUUUUCUAUUCAGCACAUGCAAGCACCUUUACCUUAGGGUUCUAAUUCUGAGCAUUUCUUGUCAAACUGACACCUAUAUGUUGAAUUCCAUUUUGUGAAAGAAAAAUUGCAGUGUUUUCUUGGUGUCACACCCACAUUUGGGCAUUCAUAAUCACAUCGGGGCAAAUACCAGCCGCUUGUGCAGUGCCUGCCUCUAGUUGUUUGGUAACCAUAUAGUAGGAGUAUUUUAUUUUAUCACAUUAUUGCCCAUGACUUCAGUCACAAAAAAACGUUUCACAAGACUGGCUGUUAGCAGAAUGUCACAGUUACAUAUCUGCUGUUGGUAAGGGUCUCAAGGUUGCACUCACGUGAAGCUAAAAAAAGAGUUAGGCAAGAUCAUCCUGAUCGAAACACAUUUAAUUAUCAACUUGAGCAAAAGGAAUGUCAUCUCAGAGUCAGCCACGCUCAACUUGACCAAAACAUAUUAAGGAACUUUAUCCUUCUCUUUGUCAGUUUUUGGUCAUGAUUGUUCCAAUCUAAAUAUGUUUGUUGUCGUUUACAUCAUGUCAGCAGUGUACUAAUAUGUUUUAAACUUUUAAUGUCAAGUAGAUGAUAAUAUUCAUGAUUAUCCUGAUCUUGAUCUGCUUUAUUUCAGCCUUCCUGGUAUACACCUAUUUCUUUUGCUGAAUAACAUGAUAUGAUUAUACUCUUGCAAAGAAAUUAAGUGCUAUUCUUUACACAUGGAGUCUGAAUGCGAAAUGAGUUAUGACCAUGUCUUUAUCUACUUUUAAUCUUGCAUCUUCAAGAAGGUUGGUUAAACAUGCUUUUCAGGUGAACUGUUUCAUCUCCAGGGACUUGGAAUAUGUAUGCUCUUGGUCUUAUUUUACUAGUUAUGCUUGCACAGAAUUCUGAUCUGAAAGUGCCAGCUCCUGUACAAGUCGUUUGGCGUGCUGCUGUUAAGCGUCUCAUCCUUUGCAACCUACCCAUCAAAUCGAAACAAUAUCCAUAUCUCAGACUGUUUUACUUGUAUUUUUCCUUCCCUGUGUGCCGUUCAAAUAUGCUGGCCUCUCUUGUUGCUGUCACCGAGUAAUUGCGACGUGAGAUGCGAGAAGGGGCAUUGAUGAUGAGAAGCUAAUGAUGAAGUUGUGUGUGCAGAGUCUGCCAAUGUCAAUACAUAACUCAGGCACAUGGAAGGGGCUGCUGCAUCUGGACCCUCCCCUACCUGAGUAUAUGCUUGGAAGGAUGCCCUGUUUCUUAGAGUUUACCAUAUGAGUCUGUCACUCCAAUUCUCUCUCGAGGUGAAAAGAAAAGGCUGAAUUUUGUAACAUGUCGUUUGGUGAUUUUGGCAGGCAGGAUCGGGGAUUGAUCGCAUUCCGGUUGAUUCAAAUUCAUCACAUUCUGAUUGAUUAAAACUCAUGUGCGUGCGCGUGUGCUUGAUUGCAAUUGCUACUGAACUUGUAUGGAUCAUACAGAAAGAGACUGGUGCACGGAAGGGAUUAUCCUAACAACGCUCCGAUGAACAGAUCGAGGGGGAGAAUCAUUCAUCAGUGUAUGGGUACAGUAAUAGUAGGACACAUGCAUGACUCCUGAAGCUGUGGACGUGGGCCAAAAGACAGCGGCUAGAUCCUCCUACUGACGGAGCUCAUGAUUACUGAUUUUAUUCCUACCAUCAUCAGCAGUAACAUCCAACCUGUCGUCUCCUGUUCUAGUACCAGUAUUCAAGACCAGGCCAGCUCGACGAGAUAUGCAGACUCACUGAUUUAUUGCAAGGAGUAGCUAGCUAGCUGGAUUAUUACGGAGGGAGGUGAUGCAGAUGCAGUGCCCAUAAACACGGCAAAAUUUUGGCUAUGCUUGCCGGUUAGUAAGGAUAUAUCUAUGUAAGAUAGUGUGGCUUCUGGUACCCAUGAAAGUGACGAACUGACAACCCUUGUUUCUUGCCAGAAUGUCUGAAGCAGCGAAGCAUGCAGCCCAGGUCCAUCCAUGGUUCUCUGUUAAGGAUGGCAAUGAAUCGAUGAUCAUGUCUGUGCUUGCGAGGGUACGAGCUGUGCUACGGAACAGACCGCAGAAGACGAUGGUGUGGUCUUGCUAUGUUGGUGGUAUGCCGUGGCGAUGUCACUGGCGACCCGGACCGCGUCGAGGGAGACUCCAGACAGGCCCCGGCGUGUGAAGCCAACGGAAUAUAGCCCGGUCUCGCCUUUCCACCCCUCCGGGAACUCUGCCUUGGGGUACCCUUCUCCGCUGAAGAAGUCGCUUCCCUGCACACCAAAAUACAUCUUGUUAGUUAGCUUUGUUUCAAUUUGAACAGACCCUGUAACUUAUUCUUUAGUAUCAGUUAAGUGUGCCAUUAUGGCUUUCCCCAAAAGAGAAAUAGUACUAUGUAGUGGAAAAGAAAACAAGUGGUGAUUGAAUUUGUUCUCUGGUUACUUUAAUUGUGAAAUGAAGUGAUUGAGCAAGUGCAAUGCACAGCUGCACACUUGUGCUUGUUGUCGC